rnacentral:rRNA from 1 species
AUUUUCUGCCACCGAAUACGUUAUACAUGGGAUAAUGGAAUAGGACCCUGUCCUCCUAUUUUCAGUUGGUUUUGGCAGCGCGAGGACUAGGGUAAUGAUUAAUAGGGAUAGUUGGGGGCAUUAAUAUUUAAUUGUCAGAGGUGAAAUUCUUGGAUUUAUGAAAGAUUAACUUCUGCGAAAGCAUCUGCCAAGGAUGUUUUCAUUAAUCAAGAACGAAAGUUAGGGGAUCGAAGACGAUCAGAUACCGUCGUAGUCUUAACCAUAAACGAUGCCGACCAGCGAUUAGGAGACGUUGAAUACAAAACACCACCAUCGGUUGCGGUCGUCCUUGGCGUCUCGGUUUCGGCCGGGGCGCGGGGAUGGCUUAGCCCGGUGGCACCGGUGAAUGACUCCCCUAGCAGCUUGUGAGAAUUACGCACAAAACAUGGGUGCGGACGGGGGCGAUAUAACUAUAACCCCGCACCCCUCUGUGAUGAGAUCUCUGCGGGUUCACCUACAGAGACCUUGUGACGACUUUUUUUCCUCAUCAUUGNGAGGAAGA